rnacentral:lncRNA from 1 species
CCACGAUAUAGAAGUUACAUAUUAAAAUGGGUUUUGUUAUGCACAUAUGCACAGACAAGCACUAUAGCGAUAUAAUUUUGCAGAAAAGAAAUCAAGAACUCCAAGCAUCCAUUCUGCUGAUAGCAGUUGAGGGAACAUUAUUGGAACAGUUAACACCUCACUCAUUUGCUGACCACUGCUGUGAUCCAUUACAGUUCCAAAAGGCUAACAGCAUCUUUAUCUAAAACUAAUCAAUUCUUAGUUGUGUUUUUUUUUCCUGACUAAUGUUCCUUUUACCUUAUGCUUAAUCAGAAGUGUCUAUGGCAAAUAAGCGCGUACUUUACACAGUAUAGCUACUAUAGAUAACAAGCUCUUCAGUUAGCAUUUAAAGCCAGUCAGUUUUGGAGCACACAUUGUCUUCUUGUGAUUUCAGCAACUGCUUCGGCACAAUAAGGUGACAACGUUGAUUCGAGAAGCGGCAAUCAUUAUCAGGUGACAGCAAACGGGUGGUUCAUGUUUUAUGAUUUUGAGAACAAGCAAACAUUCAACCACAACCAAAGAGAAAGAAGAAAAAACCCAAACACAAUUACAAGCAAACCCCCAACCCUCCCCCCCCAAACCACAACCACUACAAAAGAGAAUCAAAUCUGAACCAGAGAAAUCCCACAAUCCAGUAGAAUGAUGGUCUUAUCAUCCCCUCAUCAUUAUUGCCAUGACACAAGAGUCAUGGUAAUAAAAUCAUUUGGCUUCUAACACUAUCAAACAUCUGUGUACAGUAAUAAAGAACUGGGACCUUGUAAUUCUGUCAGGCAAUUCCUUCUGUUGUAUAUUCUGAGAGAGAAAAACAGUUGGCUUUCUUUCUUUUUUAAAUUUGGCAUGUUACUUUCUACCUGGUUACAGAGGCAUAGAGAUCUGCAUUUCUGAUGAAAUAGUAAGUUACAUAAUAGAUCACAAGCAAAUAUUUUUAAUAGUGUUUCUUGAAUGAAAAAAAUGAUUUUAGAGUUAUGAUUCAUUUACAAGUACAAAUAGGGAUUUCUAAAAUCGUCAAUAUCAGAGAAGGAAUAAAAGUAUAAACCAAGAGUCCUGUGCUCUUUAGCACACAUUAACCCACUAUGAAACCAUGAUGAGGACACUGCAUGGACUCUAACCAGAGAGCGGAGACAGAGAGAGGAUACAUUUUUGAUUGAAUUCUAGAGUUGGAGAAAAAAAAAGUCUUCAUCUCUGUGAACCGACCAGAGUUAGAAUAUCCUCUAGCAGCCUAACACUCAGGCCAAUUUCAGAAGAUUUCCCCAGAGGUUGAAAUGAAACCAAUGAGUAAAAUCCAAAGCUUUUAAGGUAAGGUGAGGGGGGAGGACAGUACUUUAGGAGAAAAAAACCAGAAGCAGUCAGUGGAGAUAGAAUUAUAUAUCCGUUCACAAGACUGAAGGGUAUCUUUCUUUUGGUCUAGGGAGACAGAGUCAUGUGGAGUGGUAUUUUUAAAUCCAAUCAGGUGAAGUGAGCUGAUGUUUAUUGGACUGGAGGAGUGAGCCUAGAUUGGAUUAAUUAGAUUUAGCAUGAAGUGGAUUAGAUUGGAAUUAGCAUGACUUGGAUUGAAUUGAAGUUAGCUUGGACUGGAUUUAACUGGAGAUAGCAUGAUUGUUUGGAAGAACAGAGAUUGAAUGGAUUGAACCAGAUGGAGUUAGCUUGGAUUGGAUUAUGAGUCAGAGUGGCUCAAAGUGAACAAAUGUCACAAAGCAACUAUUCUUUAUGACUUAAAGACUAUGAACCACACUGAAACUGUACAUGUAGUCACAAAAAUGAGUCAUGUAAUCUAUUGAAAAAUGUCUACUUUCCUCCCAUACUAUGAGCUCUGAUCAAAAGGUAUAGGCAGUGUGAGUGAAGAAAAGGCUCAAAAUCUUGGCAGAUAAGGUUAAAUGUGGGGCUGGAAGAGUUGACAGAGCCAUUUGGUCUAAACUUCUUAUGGACUUAACUAGAGACUGGGGCCUCUGUCAUCAAGCUGGUCAUGUUAAUUAUCUAUUUUAAUUUCCAUCUAGAAUUACAGCCACUGUUAAUAGCCCCAAAGUUGUUCUACCUAUGGCCAGUGCCUUUUUUUUUUUUAACAACUAGUUCAGUCCUGUUAGUAUGAGCUCUUCCUUCUAGUUGAAAUGAUAAAAGUGUUCUUUAUUAGCAUUUUGGAGAAAAACAUUUCUGGAGAUUAAGUGUUUGAAAAAUAAUGAUAAUCCAGGGAAACAGAUGAAGUUUGAGUUAAUUUAAAAUGCCACAUUUCUAGCCAAUCGCAGCUGGUUUUUUGUUUGGUUUUGAUAAUCAUUCCUGGGAUGUGCUGUUUAUAGGCUGUGGCUUCCUUUAUAGGCUCUGUGGUGAUCUAUACUACCAUGUGGGAUAUCUACUACUAGUAGGGAUGCAUACUAACACUGUCAAAGCAACUAUAAGAUACACCAUCUCUAGAUUUCCAUCUACAAAUGACCUUCCCAAGCCCAGGGCAGGAGCUAUGUACCUUGAAGAGGGAGGAAAACUGAAGCCAUCAGUGGAGGCACUGAACAUGAACCUCCCAUCCCUAUGUCCCAUCCUCAGCUCAGCUUACUAGGGAGAAGGGCUUUCUGUAGUUUGUAUGGGAGCCGGAACAGGCUUUGGGAAAUCCAGUUGAGUCUUUUUAACAUCUCAGCACAUCUAACCUGCCAUCUAGGACCAUGGCCAUUCCUCGUCUGUCAGAUUAGGUCUAAUUUAACAUGGCCAAGGUGGUAUAAUGAAACCUGCUCAGAGCUGAUCUCUGCCAAGUAGGGAUCAUGGAAGCAGGGCCCCUAAGAGCUAGAAAAGUAGGGCCAACACAAAACCAUUCCCCUAGCCAAAAUAUCCUCAUGAAGAGUCCUUUAAUUCUCCCAUCUGUAUUUCCAGAUUUUGUUUCAAGUGGCCAGAGACUAAAGUUGGGGGUGAGGGGGUUGUCUAUAUGAUUUAAUUUUCAAUUGGGCAACGUAUAAGGCUUCCUAUAUGAAACUUUUCCAGAUACUCCCCGUAACUUUCUAUUUAUUUUCAAUCUAAUUUGUAUUGAUUUAUCUGUCUACAAGUUUUUCCCUGCCAGAAUGGAAUUUAAGUUCCUUAAGGACUAGGAUGGUUUCACUUUAUCUCCAGCACUGAGUAUAGUGCUUAGCAUGGAGUGGGUGCUGAGGAAAUGCUUUAAUUAAACUGUGAAUUGAGGACAUGUACUAUAUUGAUGACCAUCUAUGAUAGAAGACUGAUGAUUGGAACUGAUUUUACUGAGGACCAUGUGUCUCCUAACAUAUAGCGUUCUCCACAGUUAAUGGCGGCAUCCAAGGGACAGGGAAAAAAAAAGCAUGACUCAGAAACCUAUCAGUAUCUACAUAGUCCACAUUUCAAAGUAGGAUUGACAUAUGAAUGCAAUUAAAAUGUUUGCUAAUGAUUUUGCUAACGGACUAAGAACUGUUCUCCAUCUUCGGUGCUGCAAGUUGAAGUUGAACUGUGAAUAAUCUGCUGUGUGGUACGCUACGGCAAAUGAGAAUAUACAGUUAAGGAGCAAAGCAAAAAUGGCAUGCUAUCUGAUUAAGGGUUGUAGCAAAAAUGUCCUUCUUUUCAAAGCCUUAGUAAUAGCUAUCUCUUUUACAAACGUUUUCUGUGUUAUUACAGACUUUUUAUAUUCAAAAUAAGCUCCAAGGAUUUCUUUCGUGGACUAUGUACAUAAGUGCAAAAAAGGUGUGUCUCACACAUUCAUUCGCACACUAACUGAAUCAGUUUAACUGCAGCAUAUUGGUAGCUUCAACACUGUUAAGGGGUCAUUCCACAACAUUUUUUUUUUAUAUGUACAGCUUUGCAAAUAUAAAUUAACAUUAAAAUAUCCAUAUGCUUAAUUCAUUAAGCCCUGAUUUUUGCAUGUAAUGUCCUCAAGAAAGUAAGUACCGAAUCUCAGAAAACAGAACGUUGGCAGGCAGAGCUACAGAAAUGAAACCAGACUGUUGUGACUUGACACACAGCGGAGAGGAGAGAGAGAGACGUGAAACGAAACAGAGGCCAGUGAUGGGCCAAGACGGUGGUGUAAAUAAAAGGCAGCAGGGUGGGUUGGGUCUGGAAAGUAAAAAUACUGUGGAAUAACCCUUUCUACACAACAAUCUCUACAAGCUAUAAAACCUGACUCUAAAGCCAUAUGUUGUAAACUUCUGGACCGAAAAGAUGACAGUGGAGUCACCCAUUCAGCUUUCCCAUGGGACUUUGGGAUUUUUCAAAUAUUCAAUCUUAUCUUUCUCGGACAGUAUGGAAGGGCACCUUGGACAAACUCAUACUGUUUUACUUCAUUUGAAAUUUAUAUGUGAAAAAGCCUUACAAAUAAUGUCUACGAAGGUAGUCAUGUUGUAGUUUUGUCAUCAAGAACUUAAGAGAAGAGUUAAGAAUGAAUCCAUCAUUGCAGGAGCUGUGUACAAAGCUAAUUUGGUUCUGAACCUGUAAACUGGACAGACUCUUUUUGAACUAUAUAAACCAAAGGGGUUCACGGGUUAGAACAGAACUAGAUGAGUUGAGCUUGUGGAGUAAUAUCUGAACCUUGCUCUAAAUCUCUUUCAAGAAUAAAUUCAAUCAUUGGCUAAAGAGCUCAAGAAGUAAAAACAAGGAAUAUGUAAAAAGCUAGCAGGAAAUAAAAUAAAAUUAAUUGCAGGAUUAUGCACUAUGAACUAAAAAGCUGAUGCCUAGAAACAACAUUUUGUACCUAUAUUUACAUUUGGAUUAGGUUAUUGACUAUAUUUCUUAGAAAGUUAUUACAGUCUUUAACAUACAGUAUAUUCUAAGGCCUUCAACAGGCCUUAGGUAAAAUCAGGUCACUGUCAGAUAUCAGCUCAUUCGAAGAGAAUGGGCGUUGAGAAUUUCCUCAUCGAUUUCAGCUUUUUUUUCUUCCAAAAUCUGGUUUCAGUGCAUGGGAAAUGUAUAAGAGAUAAAGGGGGAAAAUGAGGACUCUAACUUCUUAAUCAUGCUGUGUAUGAUGAUGUAUCAAAGUCUACACUUUAGAGGAAUGAAUCGGAACUCUGUGACUGCUCUGACCUGAUCUAAAUGGGUCCCAACUGAGCUCUUGGUGGGGAAGAGCCCAGCCAAAGCUGUGCUCCCAGGGGUCUGUGGGACCCUGUCUCUUUAUUUGAUAAAAUGAACAGUACCCAAUUAAAAGAGCAUUAUGUUAUUUGGCUAUGGAGCUGAAAAUGGUUUCAAAUCAUAAAGAUUUAUUCUAUUUGGCUUCUGCUGAUGGCAGGAGGGGGAAGGGCACUUUGGCAAAAAGCCUGGCUCUCCCCCAACCCCCCAUCAAGCGGUGAGCUGAUAAACCCAGGCUGUGGCCAUUGGGAAGCCACAGCCUGUACAGAGCAAGAUGACACUUAUGGUGAGAUCCAAAUGCUUGAGCAUGUUCUGAAAGGGAUGGAAUGGGGGAACAGGAUGAUUUACCACACAAUCAUCAGUGACAGUGUUGAAAACCUUGUCAAGAAAUGGGAAAUUAAGUGUCACUGUUGAUUAUGGAAUCAUGUGCCAAUUGCAAAAGGAAAUACCAUAUUGAACGAAAGAAUUAUCACUGUUUUCAGCAUCCAUUUUCCUUCAAUCCCUCUUCUUAUUUUGUCUCUGUUCUGAUUGUUUAGCAGUUUUCUGAACUGGAAUUACUAACAACCUUGCAAACACUCAGUCUCGGCUUUCUUUUUCCCUCUGCAUGACCUGUUUUACCUAAAUUUCACUGUUCUUGCAUAUUUUUGCAUAAGGCUGAGAAAAGUGGACCAAAACUAACUUCGGAUAAAUAAAAAUACAGGUGCGUGAAAAAUGAAAAGCUUAUAAAAUGUCAUGAAAAUUAUAGUGCUUUAAAUUUUACAUACAACUCUUGUCAAAUAAAGGAUGAAAUCUAAAUCUUAUACUUGCUUAGAGUCACUGAUUAACUUGGUGACUUUGUAAUAGGCUUUGUGUUUGCUUAGGAAAUUUAGAGUCAGACGACUUGUUUUGCUUUUCUUUUCGAACAAAGAAAAUUCCAGUAAAAAAAAAUCAUUGCACAAGCGAGUUUCAGUGGCAGGUUAUGUUAUGUUUUGUUUUUUGCCAAGGUUUGUUUGGAAUUUGGUAAAUACUUCAAGCCUUCUUCCCUUGCACUCGCUCACAAAUUAGCAUGGGAUUUGUUGGCAAUUGGCGGGGGGGGGGGGGGGGAACUUGUCAUGGCAGGCACUAAGAUUUACCCUAUCCUGGACAUCCCUUACUGAACGUCUUUGCUAAAAUCCUUUUCUAGCUCUUUUCUUCAAUGCUUUAAAUGUAACAUGAAAACAGCUGCAGUCUAAGGUUUACAUUCUAUGCACAUCAAUGCCAGCUGUUGAACUUAAAGAAAAUUGGAGGCCUAACGUCAAAGGGACAAGAUAUACAAAACUCCAUUGAGCACAGACAGAAUUCCAACCUCCUUUAGCGAAGAAAGCCAUGGUCAUUUGCAGUACAUCCGUUUCUGGCUGAAUGUGAUCAGGUUUGCUUUUGAUUGAGGCACUGGCACGCAGGUUGUGCAAAACCCAUUUUGAUACACAAAGAAUCACUUACAGGAAAUACACAUCACUUUUUUUUUUUCACUAACAAUGUUAAGACCACGGGAAACAGAAAUUCAGUGGUUAAAAGAUGCCUGUUAGAUCACUAAUCCCAGGCAAUACUGUUCCGGGAUGUUAGGCCGGUCGACGCCAGUGAAAAAAAUCAAAUGAGAAAUGAACUGGCAGUCUGCUUUUCAGCCUACUUCUUGGGCUAGUGAUUAGGACCUAUAAGGCUUUUUGCUCUGUACAGGUCUAAUCCUGCGCUUUGAGAUCCUCACCCACUGACAAUAGAAAUGUUCCCUUUUGGGAGCAUUUGAAGGGGAUCACAUCUCCGGAAAAGUGUUUCUCUGAGGCAUGAAAGAAAGCCGGGAUCUAGGCCCAACUCUAUUACUAACUGGGGCAAAUCAUUGUCCCCUCUUGAAGCCUCAAUUUCUUCAUCAGUAAAAGGGAGGGAGGAAGGGCACUCGGCUAGAUGUUUUCUGAAAGCCCCUUCCAUCUCUCACAUUUGUAGGAUUCAAAUAUUCCCCCCACCCCUCAGCUCUCCCUUUUUUAGUCUCUUGCUGUUACCUAUAGGUCAGCAAGUCACAAGAUAGAUAGAUAGAUAUAGAUAGAUAGAUGAUAGAUAGAUAGAUAGAUAGAUUGCCCCAAUUGUAUAUGCCAGAAAUGAUGCCUGUUUUUAUCCUCCCUGAUGAGAGGACAGAAUGACAAAUGAUUAGAAAAUCAUUAUCUGCAAGUUGAUGGAAAAAUGUCAAAUGUUUCCUAUUGAUUCCAUUUCUGUAAUCGAGUAAACCUUUUCCUUGGUUGCAAAUUCUUAUGAGCAUUGGACAAGUGAAUUCAUCCCAGCUCUAUGGGUCAGAUCAAAAGGGGCAGCAAAAUAUCUAAAAGUCUACAGAUUCCAAGUUUCCACCAAACAAACAAACACAUAAACAAACAAACAAAAAAGGCUUGGUGAAGGUCUGAGAGAUCCAGGAGUUCAAAAUAUGGUCACUGGAAAUUACAGGUGUUCACGACAUCUCAGCUACACUGGUGAAAUGGAUUGAGACAGAAACUUCACAGGGCAGAAGCUCACAGAAAUGGCCUGUGAUUCUUCUCUUGGGCUCCACAUAAAGGAUUCCCUAAAUCAGUUUCUCUAAUAUCAUUUCCCUCCCCUCCCAUGUGGCUAUCCUCCCUGACUGUGGGUCCUUAACAACUAUUAACUCUGAACUAUGUCCAUUUAAGGAGAACUAGCUCUCAUUCUCCCCUCUGCUGGUUUUUUUCCCCCAGACUCUGCCUUAGAAAAAAGCUUCUGAGGCUGGAUAUAUUUCCCCACUAAUUUAUGAACGUGUUCUUUCCUCGAGAUUGCCCCUAAGUUUCACUAAUUAUUAUACCUUUAAACCUCCAAGGACCAAUUUCUUGGCUGAAGAUGUUGAAAUGGCUCAGAUUUGGAGAUUCCCAUGGCGGGGGUGGUGGUGCUGGGAUCCUAGAUCCAUCAAGAAAUGGUAAUGGUCCCAUUGUAUGACUUUCAUUUAUGAUGCUGAGAAAUUGGUCUUGGAGGUGAAGUCUAAUUUGAUUUUUGUUUGAACUUUUGAGGAGCCAUCUGAGGGGUUUCUGCCUUUUCAUGGGGCAUAGCUUCACUUAGAGGGGAAACAAGCAUAUGCUGAACAUGCCACGUCUGCAUGUGCAACUGAUAAGGGACUGCAUGCACAAUCAGGAUGUCCUCAAAAGAAACCUUUCCAAAAGGCUGCCCUGUAAGCCUACAGAAUCAGCCCAUAGAUUAAAGUUACAGCAACAUUCUCACGUCGUGGUUUUCAAGCCCAUCAUUCCUGUUUCCCAUCAUAACAUUUUUAGUGUAAAAAAUGAACCACACCAAAGAACUACAUUAUGUGGAAA